AACGUAGGUGGCAAGCGUUAUCCGGAAUUACUGGGCGUAAAGGGUGUGCAGGCGGGGUGGCAAGGGGUGUCUGAAAUCUGGCCGCUUAACGGCCAGGCGCCAUCCCAUACGGCGCGUCUGGAGCAAUGCAGAGGUCGGUGGAAUUGCCGGUGUAGUGGUGAAAUGCGUAGAGAUCGGCAGGAACACCCAGGGGGAAACCAGCCGACUGGGCAUUUGCUGACGCUGAGGUGCGAGAGCGUGGGGAGCGAACCGG
rnacentral:rRNA from 1 species